AAACUCCAUGUGAAAAGUUAUGACUUACUGGACGAAAAUCACGUGCAAAGUCAGAUAAAUAAAUAAAUAAACAAAUAAAUAAAGCAAUAACGCACACGUGCAUAAGUGUGUGAACCAUAACAUGCAGUGCCUACAGUACGAGCACGUUUUAGUGAGUCACGUGAUUCUCCUAGAGGACGCAUGCUAUUUCAUACGUCAUGGAUGUUCGUGUGUGAGACAGAAUGACGUCAGAGUUGUUUGUUGAACCUAUAGAUGGCGGAAGACUCCUUUCCGUGUCACGCGCUUUAUUCCAGUCUUUGACUUAAUUUCGGUUUGAAGCAGAAAAAAAAAGAAGCAAAACUGUAGCUGGGAAAAGUUGAACACACGCAUUAGCAUGCUUCGAAAUCGAAAUGUGCAUGAAGCUGCGCGCGCGGAUCAGCGUUCUGGGUUAAAAAAGCGUGCUGUUCUCGUGCUGCAGAGGCGCGCGCGCUCCACUCCAUGGAUGAGUCCUCUGCCUGCGUCUCGCGCACCAAAUCUCCGUUUUCUCUCUCUCUGACCGCUCAGUUGUUGUUGUUGUUGUUGUUGUUUUUUUUUUCUUCGCAACGCUUCAUGACAUGACAUGACAGACGCUCGAGCUGGAUUUGCUUUCUUUUCUUCUUCUUCUUCUCUUCUCUUCUUUUUUAAUUAUUUUUUUUAUACUUCUUUCCGACGUCAUCUGCUCUUCUCACGCGACGAUCAGAGGCUGGAUCCCGGGACGUCUCUUAGUCGCGCGCACGGUAAGCAGGACAAAGAGACUAGCUGUCUGAAGGAGAUGUCAGAGAUAGUCACUGGAACCUUCUUAGAGAAACGCGAUGACCACAGAUGACCCAGCGGACAUUGGGAUAAUCCUGGAAGGCGUGGAGAUUUCAGUUAUACCCGUGAAGGGGUGUUAAAAUGGAAGAAUUGGACCAAUCCCAAAAGGCCUGGAUUUCCAUCAUGUCCAUGGAUAUCAUCAUAACAAUGCACUGUCACAUCUCUGAUAUCUAAAUGUGCC
ensembl:lncRNA